rnacentral:lncRNA from 1 species
GCCGUCAAAAUCGCCACCACUAAACCGGCGAAACCCACAAAACCUAAUCUCUCUGUCUUCGUCACAAAACCAAUCGCUGCCACCACCUUCACUCCGCCGUGGAAACCUACAAAACAACUUUACUGUUCCUCGCCGUUUACCUUCUUUUGUUAAACCUCGCAUCUGAAAUAUUGCCAUCGCGUCGGUAACUCCGACUCAAUAGAAGCUGAAGUUUCUGAUUUACUUAUUGAUGUUGGGCUUUGAGCUUACUGCAGGUGAUCUUUUGUUCAGACAUUGAAUGCAAGAGUCUCAAACGCCACCGGUAGCAACGAUUACUCUUUCAAACGACAAUCUGAUUUGGACGUUAAAAAGACUGGUAUUAGCAAUUGAUGCGGUCAAAGGAGGUCACAGUUUAGACGAUGCUAAGGAUGCAGUGACUCAGUGUAGAAGCAACACCGCUCAGCAAGCUCCUGACAACUACCAUUCUGACAUUUCGGUAAUGAUGUGUGCGUGGACCUCGCGUUGAUUGUUAUUGGUUCAACAUUCUGUUUUUUAUUGUUUGGUUUAUAAGGUUACCUUUGAUUUCGAUUAAUGCUGAUAAUGUCAUUUUCGCUUUUGAUUCGUAUGGAUGUCAUAAUGUUAUUUUCAUUCUGUGAUAUGGGGUGUGAUGGUAAAUGUUAAUGUUCAUUUUUUUGAGCUCUGAUAUUAAUUGGUUUAAUGUUAUCAUGAUGUUGUUGUCCUACCGUAGCUCGUACCGUUCCUUGUUUUUGACAUGAAUACUGUUUGGUACUCGGCAUUAAUAAUAAGUUGAAAACAUUGUGGUUGUUUUGAUUCUGUUUAUAAUUAGGGAUUUAUGCUGUUAGAUUUAACAUAGUGUUAGACUUAAUAUAGUGUUGGUCUUGAGCAUGUCCGGCAAUUCGUGUGUUUUACUGCAUUGUCAUUUUUUUUCUUAAUAUUGCCUGUUGCUGUAGAUUUUGAGGGAUGAAUUUCGGUGCCUAUUUCGAU